rnacentral:rRNA from 1 species
CCUACGGGAGGCUGCAGUGAGGAAUAUUGGUCAAUGGACGCAAGUCUGAACCAGCCAUGCCGCGUGCAGGAAGACGGCUCUAUGAGUUGUAAACUGCUUUUGUACGAGGGUAAAUCCCGAUACGUGUAUCGGGUUGAAAGUAUCGUACGAAUAAGGAUCGGCUAACUCCGUGCCAGCAGCCGCGGUAAUACGGAGGAUUCAAGCGUUAUCCGGAUUUAUGGGGUUUAAAGGGUGCGUAGGCGGUUCGAUAAGUUAGAGGUGAAAUCCCGGGGCUCAACUCCGGCACUGCCUCUGAUACUGUCGGUCUUGAGUUUAGUUGCGGUAGGCGGAAUGUCUGUUGUAGCGGUGACAUGCCUAGAUAUCACGCAGAACUCCGAUUGCGAAGGCAGCCUACCGGCGCUCAACUGACGCUCAUGCACGAAAGCGUGGGUAUCGAACAGGAUUAGAUACCCUUGUAGUC